UACGUAGGGGGCGAGCGUUGUCCGGAAUUAUUGGGCGUAAAGAGCGUGUAGGCGGUUCGGUAAGUCUGUCGUGAAAACCUGAGGCUCAACCUCGGGCGUGCGAUGGAUACUGCCGGGCUAGAGGAUGGUAGAGGCGAGUGGAAUUCCCGGUGUAGCGGUGAAAUGCUCAGAUAUCAGGAGGAACACCUAUGGCGAAGGCGGUUCUCUGGGCAUUACCUGACGCUGAGGAGCGAAAGUGUGGGGAGCGAACAGG
rnacentral:rRNA from 1 species